GUUGCAUCACUUCCUUCCGGCCUCCAUGGUUCCAGAGGAGAAAUCUACUGUCAUUCUACCUAGUGUCCCCCUGCACCAGCAGCAUUGGACAGGAGGACAUCUCCCAUGGAAGAUGUAUGUCUCCUCUGGGCAUCUCACUUCCCAGGACAGAGAAGGGUGGGUUCUGCAUGCCUGGUGUCACUAAAAUUGCUGUAAACUCCUGUCUCUCCUAAUUCCCUGUAAGCUUUUUGAAAACUAGCAAAGAAAAAUUCAAUAAAUACUUCUUGAGCACUGA